UGGGGAAUAUUGCACAAUGGGCGCAAGCCUGAUGCAGCCAUGCCGCGUGUGUGAAGAAGGCCUUCGGGUUGUAAAGCACUUUCAGCGGGGAGGAAGGCGGUGAGGUUAUUAACCUCACCGAUUGACGUUACCCGCAGAAGAAGCACCGGCUAACUCCGUGCCAGCAGCCGCGGUAAUACGGAGGGUGCAAGCGUUAAUCGGAAUUACUGGGCGUAAAGCGCACGCAGGCGGUCUGUCAAGUCGGAUGUGAAAUCCCCGGGCUCAACCUGGGAACUGCAUUCGAAACUGGCAGGCUAGAGUCUUGUAGAGGGGGGUAGAAUUCCAGGUGUAGCGGUGAAAUGCGUAGAGAUCUGGAGGAAUACCGGUGGCGAAGGCGGCCCCCUGGACAAAGACUGACGCUCAGGUGCGAAAGCGUGGGGAGCAAACAGG
rnacentral:rRNA from 1 species